AGUUUCUGCCCUUAGCAACCAGAGCAGGAAUGCAGGGUAGACACCAAGCAAUGGGCCUGUCUACCUGAGAUUGUAACUUCUGUCAGUCCCCCUGAAAUUCAGAGCCUGAGUCAGUGGAUGACAAAACAGGAGGCACAUUUGAACCACCUGGGGAGCUUUAAAAACAUAAUAGUACCCCAAACCCACCCCUAGAGAUUCUGAUUUAAUUGGUCUGAGGAGGAGCUGGGGCAUUGGUGCCUUUUAAAAGCUUCCCUGGUGAUCGUGAUGCGCAGCAAUGUUGAGAUGUGCUGCUCACAUUACGAAGUUGCUCAGAAGGUUUCGUGUCUAUGUCACAGAGAGCAGGGUGGUCAGCAGACGUGUGCCUGAUCGCUGCCUUGGGGGCUCAGGAACGCAGGUGGAAUUAAAUCUUCAUUUAUGAAAACUGUGGAGAAAAUAAGUCUGUCAUGACACAUCAGAGACUGGUGGCUUCAGGAGCAUAGAUGGCAGACUUUUUCACACUUCCUCAACUCCCCCAGAAAGUAUCUGCCUUCACAGAACAUAAACAGAACUCCAUGAAGAAAGGAGAAAGGAAGCAAAACAGAAGUUUAUCCUAUCAACGUUUUCUGCUCAGAAAUUGACAAGCUGAAUCUAAAAUUCAUAAUGAAAGUACCCAGAAUCACUGAAACAAGUUAGAAGAAAAAGAAGAAAUGUAGAAGACUUGGGUACUUGAAUUUAAUAUUCAUUAUAAAGCAGAUCAAUGAUUUCAUGGGGAUGGUGAUUGAUGCUAAUGGGAAGGAUAGGAGGGAGGGAUUAGGGGCACAAGAAAACUACUGGGGUGAUGGAUAUGUUCAUUAUGUUUCCAAGUUGUGUGCAUGUAUGUAUUUGUAUAUAUAUAUACAAACAUUUCAUGUAUAUUUUUCAUAUAUAUGUCAAAACAUCAAUUGUAUACUGUAAAUAUGUAAAGUUUAUGUUAAUCAUACAUCAAUAAUUUUGGUAGGCCCCUCUAAUAAAUUGUGUAAGAUCUCAUGAUAUUCGUGUGUGUGUGUCAAGCUUUCCUUUCAAUUUGUGUUAUUUUCUCUUCGUUUGCAUUCAUUUUGUUGUAUUUUUUUCUUUUCGAUUCUAUUGCAUUGUAGUAUAUAUGAAAGUCUUAGCAAAUUCUUUUUGUAAUAAGAUGUAUAACAAUGUUAUAUUUCAACAGGACCAUGAGAUGUGAUAUUUUAAAGGCUGACAAAUGCCUCUUUGCAUGUCAAUUUAGAAUGCCUCACUAAGAGGACUGUCCAUAGGAUGUAGUUCUCAUUCCCAUACAAUCUGUUCAAUGGUUUUUCUAAUUUGUCUAAUUUCAUUCAUUCAUUCAUUCAUUCAUUCACUGAACAGAUUUCUGUGGCAGGAUUUGAGUGAUAUAAGUACAUGAUAUUGAAUUUACUUGAUCUUAUAUGGUUGAUUAUAACUGUAGUUUAAGCAUUACAUGAAAAAUUUUAGACACUAAAUAGCAAGUCCUACUGAUGUUAGAUGCAGUUUCAUUUCUGUAACAUUAUUUUCUUCUUAGAUGCUUGGUAGAAUAAUUUAUUUUCAGAAUCAUCCUGACACAUUCUGACAUUUAAGUAGUUUGAUUUUAUAUGAUAUAUUAUCCUUUAAAAAAACAGGACAAAUGCCAAAUGCCUGUAUCAACUUCAGUAUUUACAGCACAGAAUUAUUAAUUAAAUUUAGUUCUUCAUUUGAAAAAUAAGUUUGCUGGACUCUACCAGUUGGAGUGUGGAUUAAUUUAAUGUAGUUUGAAAUAUAGGAAUUACCAAAUCCAGUUAAGUUUUUAUUAUGCUAUUUCUAUGUCUUGAGGCAUACACCCCUGUUUAGAGAUUUUUUUCUCUCCAGGCUAAGAUUUCUGUUCUUUUUUAUUUAGCCUUCUUGGGCAUGUUGCAAAUAUUCUACCUAGUUAUGUUUUCCAGGUCUAUUGUAGUAGAGCCAAUUCUUCAUUUUCUCUGCUUCUCACCUGUUUUUGUCUAUUUAUUUGUGUAUAAGAUGUCAAAGGAAAAUGAAAAGUAACACCUCAAAAUACCACCUUGAAAAGGAAAAUGCCAACAAAUUCUUUUCUGCACCUGAAGCUUUUAAUUCUUUAAUCCACCAUGGAAUGUUGCUUAAUUACAUAUUUUAUUAUGCAUAACUGAAAAUUAUGUACUUUAGUUUCAACAAUGAUAUGAAAGCAUGUAUUGUUUAUAAAUAGAGACUGGUUUGUCUCUUUUUUUAUAUUACAAAUAUUUGUGGAAUUCUCACAUGUUCUCCUUCUAAAACUUGGCUUUUUGAAAAUGCUCAGAGAGCUCUGAGAAAAACUUCAAAUUUUAAUGUUUUCUCUAGAAAUCAGAAAAUUCAUUUCUUAAAAAAAAAAAUGAUGUCAUAACGGCAUUAUGGGUAAAAACCAUUGAACAGUUUAAAGAUUUUUGUAGAAGUUUUAUCUUCAUGUGUUGCAUGAAGUAUUUAUUGAUGAAAAAAUGUUACAAUUGUUGAAUUAGGUGAUAAAUUCAUGGGAGUUCCUCGUCUCUACUUUUGUGUGUGUGUUUGAAAUUUUCCACAAUAAAGUUUGUUUUUUAAAAGACAUUUAGUGUGUAUAGGUCUUUGGAGGUCACUAUUUCAUGAUGAAAUAUUCCAUACACUUGAUUUCAAGUAGUUAGUGAUCAAAGUCUUCAUAUUAGCAAAAU